UGGGGAAUAUUGGGGCAAUGGGCGCAAGCCUGACCCAGCAACGCCGCGUGAAGGAAGAAGGCUUUCGGGUUGUAAACUUCUUUUCUCAGGGACGAAGCAAGUGACGGUACCUGAGGAAUAAGCCACGGCUAACUACGUGCCAGCAGCCGCGGUAAUACGUAGGUGGCAAGCGUUAUCCGGAUUUACUGGGUGUAAAGGGCGUGUAGGCGGGACUGCAAGUCAGAUGUGAAAACCAUGGGCUCAACCUGUGGCCUGCAUUUGAAACUGUAGUUCUUGAGUACUGGAGAGGCAGACGGAAUUCCUAGUGUAGCGGUGAAAUGCGUAGAUAUUAGGAGGAACACCAGUGGCGAAGGCGGUCUGCUGGACAGCAACUGACGCUGAGGCGCGAAAGCGUGGGGAGGCAAACAGGAUUAGAUACCC
rnacentral:rRNA from 1 species